GAACGUUACCAAACUGUUGCCUCGGCGGGAUCUCUGCCCCGGGUGCGUCGCAGCCCCGGACCAAGGCGCCCGCCGGAGGACCAACCAAAACUCUUAUUGUAUACCCCCUCGCGGGUUUUUUUAUAAUCUGAGCCUUCUCGGCGCCUCUCGUAGGCGUUUCGAAAAUGAAUCAAAACUUUCAACAACGGAUCUCUUGGUUCUGGCAUCGAUGAAGAACGCAGCGAAAUGCGAUAAGUAAUGUGAAUUGCAGAAUUCAGUGAAUCAUCGAAUCUUUGAACGCACAUUGCGCCCGCCAGUAUUCUGGCGGGCAUGCCUGUCCGAGCGUCAUUUCAACCCUCGAACCCCUCCGGGGGGUCGGCGUUGGGGAUCGGCCCUGCCUUUUGGCGGUGGCCGUCUCCGAAAUACAGUGGCGGUCUCGCCGCAGCCUCUCCUGCGCAGUAGUUUGCACACUCGCAUCGGGAGCGCGGCGCGUCCACAGCCGUUAAACACCCAACUUCUGAAAUGUUGACCUCGGAUCAGGUAGGAAUACCCUGAAACUUAA
rnacentral:rRNA from 1 species